UACGUAGGCAGCGAGCGUUGUUCGGAAUUACUGGGCGUAAAGAGUGUGUAGGCGGUGCUCUAAGUUCGGUGUGAAAUCUCCCGGCUCAACUGGGAGGGUGCGCUACAAACUGUCUGACUAGAGUGUGGGAUGGGAAGUGGAAUUCCUGGUGUAGCGGUGAAAUGCGUAGAUAUCAGGAGGAACACCGGUGGUGUAGACGGCUUUCUGGACCAUAACUGACGCUGAGACACGAAAGCGUGGGUAGCAAACAGG
rnacentral:rRNA from 1 species